CAUCAGACUUGUUGAAAAAAAAAAAAAAGAUGGAAAAGGAAAAAAACUGUAUUUUUUUCUUCACAAGUGCUUCAGACAAUAGAGACUGAAGCUGAAAUCAGAAUUGCUCAACUUUGCGGCCACAAUUAUAAUUUUUUUAUUAAUAAGCACCAGCUGUGCUUUAAAGACUCGUCUCAUCGGCUUCUUCAAGGUAUUCACAGUGCAAUUACAUCGUCCUGCGUUCGUGAAGCCAUCUGUUUGAGCCUUUGUGCCUCUGUGCAGAUGUUGGAGAGAGAUUUCAGGACUCGUUUCUAAAGACUCGGGGGAGAGAAGUGUUUAGAUAAGCAUGUUAAAUUGAAG
ensembl:lncRNA